UACGUAGGGGGCAAGCGUUGUCCGGAUUUAUUGGGCGUAAAGCGCGUGUAGGCGGCUUCUUAAGUCCGAUGUGAAAACUCUCGGCUCAACUGGGAGACUGCAUUGGAAACUGGGAGGCUGGAGUGCAGGAGAGGGAAGUGGAAUUCCUAGUGUAGCGGUGAAAUGCGCAGAUAUUAGGAGGAACACCAGUGGCGAAGGCGGCUUCCUGGACUGCAACUGACGCUGAGACGCGAAAGCUAGGGGAG
rnacentral:rRNA from 1 species